AACGAACGCUGGCGGCGUGCCUAAUACAUGCAAGUCUAACGUGAAAAGGGGCAACCCUUAGUAAAGUGGCGCACGGGUGAGUAACACGUAGGUCAUCUGCCUUUUAGUGGGGAAUAACACAGCGAAAGUUGUGCUAAUACCGCAUACGUAAGUAAUUAGAAAGGGGGCGUCCGCAAGGAGCUCUCGCUGAAAGAAGAGCCCGCGUUCGAUUAGCUAGUUGGUGGGGUAACGGCCUACCAAGGCGACGAUCGAUAGCUGGUCUAAGAGGAUGAUCAGCCAGACUGGGACUGCGACACGGACCAGACUCCUACGGGAGGCAGCAGUUAGGAAUUCUGGGCAAUGGGCGAAAGCCUGACCCAGCAACGCCGCGUGGGUGAUGAAGGCCUUCGGGUCGAAAAGCCCUUUUUCAGGGGAAGAUAAUGACGGUACCCUGAGAAUAAGGCCCGGCUAACUACGUGCCAGCCGCCGCGGUAAAAC
rnacentral:rRNA from 1 species